AGUCGGGUUGUUUUUCAUCUCACUAACCAUGAUUUUCCACUUUGCAGGAAGUUUUGCCAUAUGAAAAUUUGCGCUCAUCUUUUUCUCUCUCAGAUACUAUUGCUGUGCAAAUGUUUAGCAAGAUAUAGAAUUGACUUCUUCUUCUUUUUUGAACUUUGAAUUGACUUUCAGAAAGAGGGAGAAUCACUGAAGCCAUUGAACUUGAAUUUACAUAACGUACAGUAAAAAAUUUUAUAAAAAAAGAUUAGCGGUUUCAAUAAUCGUGGUGUAGUAUGAGAAAUAAUAGGAUUUUAUUUAUAUUAAAAGUACACAGAAUAAAUUAAUAAACGAAUAAAUAAUAUAAUAAAUUCUACGUGUCAUGAUUUGAUUCACCAGGCGACUUGCGCUUUAGUAUAUAAAGGAUAUCUGGGAAAAUGUGUUGUACAUUAAAAAAGCAGAUUUAUAAAAUUUUAAAUGUGACCAAACAAUAAAGUGCAUUCACAGUUUUCAUAUUUGAUUUACUAGAGUCUAGAUCAACAGUAUCAAAAUAAUAUAUCAAUAUCAAUAAUGAAUCUGAUCAAAAGAAGUAAACUAUCUAACCCAAAUGGACUUAAAACCAAAAUAUCCAAAUGUUCUUCAGCCCUAUUGACAUAUCUAUAUUCAAUGUUUCAAUUAACUUUCACUUGUCGAACA
rnacentral:lncRNA from 1 species